CGGCGAACUGCUCAGUAACACGUAGUUAAUCUGCCCUAUGGUCAAGGAUAACCUCGGGAGACUGAGGCUAAUACUUGAUAGAAGAUUUUGUUGGAACACUUUUUCUUUGAAACUCGUGCCAUAGGUUGAGACUGCGCCUGAUUAGGUUGUUGUUGGGGUAAUGGCCCAACAAGCCGAUGAUCAGUAAGGGCUCUUAGCGGAGUAGCCCUGAGAGGGAAUCUGAGACACUAUUCCCAGCUCUACGGAGUGCAGCAGCUGCGAAUUUUUUACAAUGCACGAAAGUGUGAUAGAGCGAGCCAAAGUGCUUUUCAUACGAAAAGCUUUUCUUUGCUGUAAAAAUGCAGAGGAAUAAGGACUGGGUAAGACUGGUGCCAGCCGCCGCGGUAAUACCAGCAGUUCAAGUGGCAUCCAUUUUUAUUGGGUCUAAAACAUCCGUAGCUUGUUAAAUAAGUCUCUUGUAAAAUCUUAUAUCUCAAGUAUAGGUCUGGCAAGAGAUACUAUUUAGCUAGAGACCGGUAGAUGUAAGGAGUACGCUCAAGGUAAUGGUAAAGUAUGUUAAUCUUGGGUGGACUAACAAUUGGCGAAGGCACCUUACAAGGACGGAUCUGACAGUGAGGGAUGAAGGCCAGGGGCGCAAAACGGAUUAGAUACCCGUGUAGUCCUGGCAGUAAACACUGCUCACUAAACAUCGGUCUCUCUUCGGGAGAAAUCGGUGCUGAAGCGAAGGCGCAGAGUGAGCUACCUGGGAAGUAUAGUCGCAAGAUCGAAACUUAAAGGAAUUGGCGGGGAGACACACAACGAGUGACGCGUGCGGUUCAAUUAGAUUCUACACCGUGAACCUCACCAGGAGCGACAGCAGAAUGAAGGUCAGUCUAAAGGGCUUACCUGACGCGCUGAGCGGAGAUGCAUGGCCGACAUCAGCCUGUGCUGUGAAGUGACCUGUUAAAUCAGGUAACAGGCGAGACCCGUGUGCAUAAUUACUACCGAAAGGAGAACUUUAUGCAGACUGCCGCGGUAACACGGAGGAAGGUGCGGGCUAUGUCAGGUGAGUACGUCCCUAACCCCCUGGGCUACACGCGCGCGGCAAUGGUAAACUCAACGAGAUGCGACUCCGAGAGGAGAAGCUAAUCUCUUAACGUUUAUCUCAGUACAGAUUGAGGGUUGCAACCCACCCUCAUGACGAUGGAAUUCGAAGUAAUCG
rnacentral:rRNA from 1 species